rnacentral:ncRNA from 2 species
CGCAUGUUCCGGGAACUCGGUGCAAUUCCGAACUGGCGGUGAAAGCCCGCUAACCCGGGCGCGUUUCACUCCGUGGGGCGAGCCUUGGGCCUGACCGGUGGAAUUCCGGUGCCGACAGUACAGUCUGGAUGGGAGGUUCAUGCG